UACGGAGGGAGCUAGCGUUGUUCGGAAUUACUGGGCGUAAAGCGCACGUAGGCGGCUUUGUAAGUCAGAGGUGAAAGCCUGGAGCUCAACUCCAGAACUGCCUUUGAGACUGCAUCGCUUGAAUCCAGGAGAGGUGAGUGGGAUUCCGAGUGUAGAGGUGAAAUUCGUAGAUAUUCGGAAGAACACCAGUGGCGAAGGCGGCUCACUGGACUGGUAUUGACGCUGAGGUGCGAAAGCGUGGGGAGCGAACAGG
rnacentral:rRNA from 1 species